rnacentral:lncRNA from 1 species
GAAAGAGCAAUUCUGCCUAGAUCAGUGUUAGGGCCCAGGACAAAGGCCUUACUCUGUCCCACCCCUAAUGAGGACACUGUUAUUUAGCUCUUUACUUGGGUUCACUUGGGAUUUCACUGGAACCUUAAGUGGUCUCCCCACCCUUGGCCUAAGACAAUAAGGCAAUGGAACGAACUACUGGAGUCAAGGGACCUUGGUUCAAGUCCCACUUCCGACAUUGCAUGACCUUGCAUGAAAUCAUUUAAUCUCACUUGGAUCUGGAAAAUGAGGGAUUUAGCCUGAAUGGCUUCUGCAAACCUUUGUAGCUCUCGCUCCGUGAUCCAGUAAGCCAACUGUAAUGCCUUCCGACCUCCGGGGGCAGAGUCUCGGCCCCUCAGACAACGCCAGCUUGCUUUGGCAGGGGGAAACCGUUUACCCGCUGUCCUUCCAGCUCUCCACCUGAACCCCCGGCCUUGGACCUUCCACUCCUCAUCUGCCCAUCCGAGGGUCUGGUCCCCUUUGUUCUGGUCCAGCUUCCCUUCUUCUCUGUAGUCCUCCCCAGCCACUUCUCCUUCCCAUCCACCUCAUCUCAACAGCAGUGCUCAACCACGUAGACAGGUGCUCCCUCAAUACCUCUUCUGCCGUCAUCCUGCCAACUAAGGGCAGAGGGGCCUGUAGCAUCACCUCUGGGUCUGGCUUCGAGCCUCCUGUGAGCUCUUCUCAGGUACCAGACAGUACAGGGAAGCAGGGGAAGUUCUGUAGAAAAUGGGCUCCAUUAUGGAGCAAACAAACCACAGUCCAGUAACGGGAAAUCGCAAGGCAAUAAUACCUGCCACCUAUAUAGCACUUUACAUCAAAUCCAGCCUCAGACACUUUCUAGCUUGGGCUUCACUUGGGCAAAUCACUUAACCUCUGUUUGCCUCAGCUUCCUCAACUGUAAAAUGGGGAUAAUAAUGCUCUUUACCUCCUGGUAUUAUUGUGAGGAUCAAAUGAGAUAUCUCUAAAGCACUUAGCACAAUUUAUGGCACACAGGUGAUAUAUAAAUGCUAGCUGUUAUUACAUCUGUUCUCUCAUUUGAUCCUCACAACAAACUGAGAUCUUGUAGUCCUAUUCCAUCAUUAGGGAUAUUGAGGCUUAGAGAGCAUUAAGUGACUUGUCUAUGAAUGUUACAGCUUAUGAAAGGUUAGAACGUAAACCUCUGUCU